UACAGAGGUCUCAAGCGUUGUUCGGAUUAUUGGGCGUAAAGAGCGUGUAGGCGGCUUUACAGGUCCGUUGUGAAAACUCGAGGCUCAACCUCGAGACGCCGGUGGAAACCGUAAAGCUAGAGUCCGGAAGAGGAGAGUGGAAUUCCUGGUGUAGCGGUGAAAUGCGCAGAUAUCAGGAGGAACACCCGUGGCGAAAGCGGCUCUCUGGGACGGUACUGACGCUGAGACGCGAAAGCGUGGGGAGCAAACAGG
rnacentral:rRNA from 1 species